GAUGAACGCUGGCGGCGUGCCUAAUACAUGCAAGUCGAACGCAGUGGGGACGGGUGAGUAACACGUGGGUAACCUCCCAUCAGAGGGGAUAACACUUGGAAACAGGUGCUAAAACGAUACUGCUGGAUGGACCAGCGGUGAAUUAGCUAGUUGGUGAGGUAACGGCUCAACAAGGCCACGAUGCAUAGCAGACUUGAGAGGGUGAUCGGCCACCAUGGAACGGGGACACGGUCCAGACGCCUACGGGAGGCAGCAGUAGGGAAUCUUCCGCAAUGGUCGAAAGCCUGACCGAGCAACGCCGCGUGAGUGAUGAAGGUCUUCGGAUCGUAAAACUCUGUUAUUAGGGAAGCGGUACCUAAUCAGAAAGCCACGGCUAACUACGUGCCAGCCGCCGCGGUAAUAC
rnacentral:rRNA from 1 species